GAAGGACAAGGAGACCGCCGCUCAGACCUGUCUAGCUAUGGGAAAAAGAAUUAUCACCAACGCAAUGGAGUGUGAUAUAUUCUUAAUGCUGGAAACCCGGUUGGAAUUGAUUUAUAAUUUUCAAAGCAAAAGGGAUCCGGUUCUAGACCCACAGUAGACCGAAUCUUAGUCCUGUCUGACUAUGAGGGAAAAGAAUUAUCACCAACACAAUGGAAAGUGAUAUAAUCUUAAAG
rnacentral:lncRNA from 1 species